AUGGAUGAGUGCGGUCAGAGCGCCAGAAGAAACCUGCAGGUGAAUGUUGUUGAACACCCCUUGCGUUUCGUUGCUUCCACAAACUCCAACAAGGCAACAAGUAAUCAUGACCAUGGAGUUGAAACCACGCCAUUUUCCCUUGGGAAUCCUCUUGCGAGUGCUGCACUACCAAUCCUCCAAGUUGUCAGUAGCAAUCGGAACAUGAGAGGCAUCACAGUGGGCAGCCAGGAAGCAGUUGGAGCAAACCUGACGGGCAUAAAUGCAUUGCAUGAGGAUGUGAUCUGUUGUGUCCUCCUCUUGGUCACAGAGAUUGCAGGGUGA
rnacentral:rRNA from 1 species